rfam:Prevotella ruminicola 23, complete genome.
AUUACACGGGUAAGUCCUGUACGGCCAGCUCCCUUUGAAUCCCCCAGGGUGGGAACGCAGCAAGGGUAUUAGGUUGUAGCGGCGCGAUGCAGAUCGCUUACCCACCC